AUUGAACGCUGGCGGCAGGCCUAGCACAUGCAAGUCGAGCGGAUGAAGGGAGCUUGCUCCUGGAUUCAGCGGCGGACGGGUGAGUAAUGCCUAGGAAUCUGCCUGGUAGUGGGGGAUAACGUCCGGAAACGGGCGCUAAUACCGCAUACGUCCUGAGGGAGAAAGUGGGGGAUCUUCGGACCUCAGGCUAUCAGAUGAGCCUAGGUCGGAUUAGCUAGUUGGUGGGGUAAAGGCCUACCAAGGCGACGAUCCGUAACUGGUCUGAGAGGAUGAUCAGUCACACUGGAACUGAGACACGGUCCAGACUCCUACGGGAGGCAGCAGUGGGGAAUAUUGGACAAUGGGCGAAAGCCUGAUCCAGCCAUGCCGCGUGUGUGAAGAAGGUCUUCGGAUUGUAAAGCACUUUAAGUUGGGAGGAAGGGCAGUAAGUUAAUACCUUGCUGUUUUGACGUUACCAACAGAAUAAGCACCGGCUAACUUCGUG
rnacentral:rRNA from 1 species